GUGUCAGCCGCCGCGGUAAGACGGAGGAUGCAAGCGUUAUCCGGAAUGAUUGGGCGUAAAGCGUCCGCAGGUGGCUCUUCAAGUCUGCUGUCAAAGAGCAAGGCUCAACCUUGUCAAGGCAGUGGAAACUGAAAAGCUAGAGUGUGGUAGGGGUAGAGGGAAUUCCCAGUGUAGCGGUGAAAUGCGUAGAGAUUGGGAAGAACACCGGUGGCGAAAGCGCUCUACUGGACCUGCACUGACACUGAGGGACGAAAGCUAGGGGAGCGAAUGGGAUUAGAAACCCGCGUAGUCC
rnacentral:rRNA from 1 species